GUGACUAGAAGUAGGUGGGUAGCCCGGGUCCUGCUUUUCCUCGUUGCGUCUUGCAGGGCGCGCUGAGUGCGUUUGCACGUGACGUUGUUUGAACGCUGCCCUGCGUUAGCUACAGACGUGUGAGGCCUCGCUUGCGUCGGUGGGGAGCACGUGCAGUGUGGCCGCCUGUGGGAGCCCUUCCCAGGAACACCGGUCCGCGUGCUACUCCGGAAGACCUGACCUAAUAGGUACGGGGUACCGUCCAGAGUUCCUGGGGCGAUCCUCGCCGUACAGCCGUGGUGAAGAGCGUGCGCGCUAGAGGGCAGGUGGCACCGUAGGUUUCCGGCCCCGCCUCUGCCAGGUGCUCAGGGCUCCUUGUAAACUGGGCGGGUUUCGAAGUGUUUUUGAAACUUUGUUAAUAAAUUUUAUAGAUGGCUGGUGCCUUGGUAUUUUAGAUUAGGAGAGAAACAACGCAGUGCUUAGAUUAACGUUAGGUUACGUCUGUAGACGAGCUUUACAUAAGCUCCUUGCAAUUAUCUUUCACUGAACGUAUGUGGGUCGUUCAGUAGGAAGCUACAUUAACAUGUAGUUUGUACGUAGAUGUUACCUUCAUAAAUUUACGUCAGCCUUAGGUCCGAAAAGCGCAUCGCAUAGGUGACGUUCCGUUUAUUCAGGCCCCCGUUGGCGCAGUAGAGGAUGACACCGCUUAACUGCUGGGCUCUGCUUACGCGUUGCAUCGUCUCGAGUAUUCCCGUCGUGUAGACAUAGGAACUGGUUUUGAGGUUUAACUUGCCCGGUGUCCGUGGCUUAAUAGCACAGCUGAGAUUUCAGUGGGCGCAUAUGGGUUGAGAAUCCAUCUAGAUGUCCCAUUAAAGGUAUUAAAGUUUUGCUAUUAGUUUAUAGUCUGAUGGAUUUGCUAAAUACGUGUAUUUUGGUUAGAGAAAAUUUGAAGAAGUAUCUCUGACAAGUAUAUAAGCAUUUUGCAAUUGAUAAAAUUCUCAGAAAACGUCCUCGCGUUUGCUGCUCGUAGUAGGAUCACAGUGACGAGAUGCCCGCCUGUCCCCUGGGCUGCGGCCUAGUCCUCUUUGCACCGCCCCGUCCGCGGGCUGCAGUGACCGUCUGUGCGGUUGUGUGCACACUUCUGUGUGCGCCCGGCUGUGUGCCAGGCGCCAGCGCCUCAGCGCCCACAGACCCUCCCGCUCUGUGCUCCCUCCCAGCGCGGCCACCACGUGCCGCACAGCCGUUCAGACGUGGCGGCUCUCAUCCCUUAACCCGCCCCUGUGUUCCUUCCAACAUCCAGCUCCUUUUGAUUCCGCAUUUUUUCUCUUAGCAGGUCUCCACAAAACACGGGAUUUUGAAAAGGGAUUUCAGUGGCGCAGAACCUGGAAGGAGCUAUGCUAAGGAAGAACUUAAGGUAUGUUUAAAGGCUGCUGGAAGGAGGCAGUAGAGAGGCAAGACCUGAACACAUGGGAUGAGAGAUGCUGGAUGACAUCAUGGGAGGAGGAGAUGCUGGAUGACAUCAUCAUGGGAGGAGCAGGCCCGAGCAGCUCUUUGGAGUACGGCUGGGACGUUUUUAAAGCUGCUGACCGAUGGGGAGCUGCUCUUCAGAGAGGAGAGGUGAUUAGGACACAUGUGCACGGAGGGAAGACGAAGUGAGGACACAGGGAGAAGGCGGCCGUCUGCCAGCCCAGGAGAGAGGCCUCAGGAGGAGCCCACCCUGCCGACACCUUGAUCUUGGACUCCCAGCCUCCAGAAUGCUGAGAAGUGAAUGACUGUUGUUUAAGCUGCCCGUGUGUGGUACUUGUUACAGCAGCCCUGACAAACUACCCACUGGCUUUGAUAGAGGUCCCUGAAGAUUCUGGGCUGGGGCAGGAGCGUCCCCAGAGAAUAGUCUUCUUGCACUUGCGCUGUCAUCUCUGCACCUGCCCCCUUAAAGCCGGCCGUCUGAGACUGUGCUCAGGAUCGUGUUCAGCAAAGCACCGUAUUGAAUGACCACUAUUAACCCAUGGAGAACCUGCUUCAAAACUAAGUACAUGGGCAAAAAAGAGAUUAGGAGUGAUGAUCCGCUCUGGGGAAAAACUGUCUUACAAAGAAGGAUUCAAAAGAUAAUCCUUUGACAGGGCAAUUGUUUUAAAGUGAUUUAUCUCUCCCAUCAAAACACCUGGGCUCUGGCUCCCACCGACAGUCUGAAGGCUUCCACGUCUGAUGUGCUCCCAGUUCUGUCACAUGUCCCCGCUUGCCCACAUCAGAGAGACUCUCUCAGGGCACUUAGAUUUGGGAGUCCGCCAUCUAGAGCUCAGAGUUGAAUGGAACGCUCCCGCAUGGUCUGACUUUCGUGAAAGAGCAUCUCUUUUUGUUCGUGAUCCUUUGCCAGCUACUGCACUCUUUAUUUCAGCAACCACAGCUCACUGGCAGCUCUGUGGGCAACUAAAACCACUAGACACCUCUCCUCACUUGAACUGCGAAGUCUCAGACCUCCCUGAAGUGCAUUUGAUCAGAGAGUAUUUUAAUGACUAUGUUGUUUCAAAGAGAUGCAUAAAUACUUUGCAUCCUGGAACAUGGCUGCGUCAGAUGAGUUUUGAGUAACCACAGCCCCCGUGUCGUCUGUUUGAACUGGACUCACCACUGACUCUGAAAGGUCCUGCCUGCCCUUCAAGCCCUCUGGCCCGUCCCCUUCGCCGCAAAAGCCCAAAAUACUCCAAACCAAGUUUUUCAAGAAUUCAUUUGGUGGUAAAACCUGAUCCAGAGCUAUUUAUAGGCUAUAUUCAUCCCACUUCCUAUGAAUUCAGGCAUUUUUCUCUGCAGAAAUGUUUUAUUUGAUUAAUGGUUUCUUCUCUAGUGUUCACUGAGGGUUUGCCACCAAAUAUUUAGCAUAUUCAUUGUAUUAACCUUUUAAAUAAAAACAAAAACAAAAAACAAA